rnacentral:rRNA from 1 species
UACGUAGGGUGCAAGCGUUGUCCGGAAUUAUUGGGCGUAAAGAGCUCGUAGGCGGCUCGUCGCGUCGGCUGUGAAAACCUGGGGCUCAACCCCGGGCCUGCAGCCGAUACGGGCGAGCUAGAAUUCGGUAGGGGAGACUGGAAUUCCUGGUGUAGCGGUGAAAUGCGCAGAUAUCAGGAGGAACACCGGUGGCGAAGGCGGGGCUCUGGGCCGAUAUUGACGCUGAGGAGCGAAAGCGUGGGGAGCGAACAGG